rnacentral:lncRNA from 1 species
GGGAGGGAAGGUAAUCUCCCUGCACAAAUGGAGAUUACUGCAACGGAAAGUUAUUUUUCUUGUUGCCGCCCCUUGGCACUCUGGCACUCGUGGCUGGUCGUGGCUGUCUUUCAAACGCCUAACAAGGUGUCAAUAUCUUAAAAAUUUUAUCUUUCUGCACAUAAAACUCAUGCGGAUCAUAGUAAAUCAGCCUUUGGUCAGGCUAAAGACGACGGCGACUACGACUAUGGACCAAUGCCAACUCUUAGACCAGAGUUAGCCAGCAUCUUAAAGGUCUUUAAGCCUCUCCCCUCGUCUCCUCUCUUCGUUGCUUCUUCCUUUUAGACAAGGCAAAGCCUUAACCCAAACUCCAUCCCGCAGCACCGACAACAAUGGACGGCUCUCUGACCAAAGGAGCGAGCAAUGUGCCUCUUAUACGCCGGAUUUACGAGCCGACUCUCGCCGCCACCGCCACCGCCACAACCGCCACCGUCGUCAGAGUCAGCGUCGUGGCACAAGAAAUAUUCGAUGGCCAGGCAACGAUUAAAACGGACGCUUCACGCAUGCGCGUUCACACACCCUGAUACUUGCACUUACAUUUAUAUGCAUUCUGCAUAAUGGACUGAAACACAUGAACCAAAGCACAGCAGAGGGCAUCCUUCUAGAUCACUCCUAAACUCAGCCAAGUUCCGCCUGUGGACCACAGAGCCCACCCACAUACGCUAUGCAGAGGAGUCACUCUAUUGGAGGUAUGCAUUUACAUAUUCAUAAUUUUGUAUUCAUCUUUGAUUCUUACACCCCUUUAUAUACGCCCGUAUAUAAACGUGUGUCCAGCACUGUAAAUUGUGGCUCGUUGUUGCUGUUGAGCAGUGUUCACUGGGUACUUGGCCUGGCAGCAUGUGCAGGAACACCACAGAGUCAGUAACAGUUCUCUGCAGUUCAGCAUCGGCAACAGCAUCAGCAUCAGCGGGGUAGGGUUGUGUCGGGCUCUGGCUGCGAGUUGUGUUGGGGCGGAGAGAGCAUGCAUGUGGGAUACGGAUUGGGGUGCCUCAUCAUGUGCACAUUGCACGCACGUGAUUAAAGCGUAGCCCCGUCGCGAGAGAGUGUUCAAGGGCGAGGGACUAAGACUGGAACUGGGUCUGGGUCUGAGGCUGGCCAAGCACUGCUUAUAAAUCAGAGUUCGCUCUUUUUUUGGGACGACAAUGAACCCGAUUCGAGAUGCAAGAGGAGGGAAUACCUCGCCGCACUACAUAUUGAUCAAUAAAAACGAUCGCCAAAGGCUUUUGUCUCUAGAUAUUCGGUACAUUCCGUUGGUGGCAAGUUCAAUGCACUUGUGAGACUGGUUUCAAUUUAAAUUUCGAAAUGCAUUCGCGAAGAUUUACGCGCGUUUUAAAUACACACAGAGAGUGGGAACUCAACGAAAAUUAAUAAUUGAAGGCGCUUUGAGGAGCAUUCCCAAGCCAUUUCCAUUGCGAGUGAUGAUGCUCCACGGGCUGACACUUGACCCAGACGGCGCCGGCCUGUCUUGUAGCAAAUAAAUUAAGGCGCUCAUGAAGUGCCACAGGCUACGGACCGAGUCCGACUCUGACACAUUUGUGGCCAUGCUCCGUUCCGCUCAGGGCAACCGUCGGCACUUCUAUGGAUUCUUGUCCAGGUACAGGUCCAGGUCCAGGUCCAGGUCCGGGCUUGUAUUCUAGUCCAGACAUUCAAAUCGUUCGAAAUCAAUCAAGUUCGUGGAGGAUUAGGGUCUUUGGCGCCGAUGCGAUGCGGCCAAUGUAAUAUUAGCCAAUCUAUGCUAGAGGUCAAUUCUCUGCCAGUUCUUGUGUCUCCCCUGUGAAUUCGUGAAAAUAUUCUAGGCCCAUCAAAGUGGCAGGGAAACAAAUUUAAAUAUUUU